rnacentral:sRNA from 1 species
UAACUCUGUCAUGGAUUCGUGGCCAUUCC